CUGUACCGCGCCGAAGGGAGAGAAGGAACAUUGAGAACAAAAGCGCGCACUGUGGAAGGGGCUUGUUUUCACUGUACGCAGGAAGGAGCGAGAGCGUGAAAAGGCGAGGGGCGGCGUGCUGACGUGAGGCAGAUGGACAGAUGAUGUUGUCCUGUUGACUUCAUCAAGCCAGGAC